rnacentral:lncRNA from 1 species
UUGGUUUGAAGUUUGAACUUUGCUAUAAUCUUUUUGUAUUAAGGUGAUUAGUUUAAUAGUAUCUUUGAUCAAAGUUAUCUAAGCUAAGUAGACUAAAAUAAUGAUGAGUCCAUGUAAGCGUAUCUCCAUUGGUGUUUUUUAAGAGUAUCUAAAGCAAAUAUUUAAGGUAAAAAGGUAAAAAAAAAAAAAUGUUAAUCAUUCAUUUACUUUAGGAUCGUCGCUAAUAGAAGGGAGUAGAAAAAUUAAGAGACUGGUACGUGUCAACGUAUUAUUGGGUCAAAAAAAAAAAAAGUCUCUUUCUCUCUUUCUCUCUUUCUCUCCUUCUCUCCUUUUCUCCGAUGCCGACAAGGGAAGAGAUCCAUUCGAUGUGUCGUUUUCUCCGAUGCCGACAACGGAAGAGAUCCAACUCGUCUUUUUUCCGUCGAUCUAAUCUCCGGCUGGUCUUCAUAUGCGAGGUGUUUCCACCGAAGCUCAGUUCAUGAAAUCGUGAUCCGAUGACGACAGAAACAAAUUUUGUUUGGAUCGGUCGAUUUCAGAGAAGACAAGCCAAAGAAACUCGUCUCUCAUCCGUGGUCAUCAUCAUCUCCGGCCGUUCCUCAUCUCUCUUUCUCUCAUUUGAGUGUAUACCAAGUCAUGUAAAUACACAAAAUUUCAAAUGUAAGAAACUCAUUGUAAUUAACACUAACCGUA